UCAUUAGGUUUUGUUACUCUCUUUCUAUCUACCUCAAUCUUUUUCCUCUUUCUCCAACUCACGGGCGAUUUGAAAUCUGCGCCAGCUUCCAUCUUCAACCUCUCCAUCUUCUAUCUUCAACCUCUGCAUGGCUCGUCCGAUGGAAAAAAUUAAGGACAUCAACGAUUCUGAAUCACGGGUGAGGACUUUUUUCCAGAUCCGACCCUUUUAUGGGAUUAGGGUUUCAGGAGAUCUCGGACGCAAGUUCUUUUCCAAUAUGCAGAAUUUUGUAGAAAGUGGCGGUUUAAGUCGGUGAUGCAGCCUGUUAUAACAAGCUGAAGCUUUGAUUAAUGAUUUGAAGGAAAACGGAUUGUUCGAUAUUAAAGGAAACAAAGGGAGAGGGAGGUCAAAGGGAGCUGACUCUGAACAUGUCUGAACUGGCUCGGUUUCUACGGGAACCAGUUUGUUAUUCGUUUCGGUUGAGCUUUAUGCAGGGCUGCAGUUCUGUUCAUGUGAUGAUGGUUAAAUUGGCAUGCUGAUUUUAUGGAUUAUGCAGGGGUCAGAUUGAGUUUGUGAUGUUAACUGGCUUGGACAGUUAUGGGCUUUAUGUGUUAAGUGCUGCAAGCUUGAAUCUUUCCAGCAAAUUGAAGUGGA